AAAAUCCCCAUGAAACCAAAUCUUUUUUUAGAUUAUGACUAUGUUAUCGGUAAGCUAUAGUGUGCUCCAAAACAAUAACAAAAUUCGCAUUUAAAAAAAGAAGAAAAAAAAACAAGCAUGAAAGAGACGUAUUGUAAAUAGAAGUAAUUCUUGAAACAGAUAGCAAUAUGGAAGUAUCUGCUUAAUCAUCUUCUUAUUUUUGCCAAAUAGAAUAUUCUCAGAAAAGUGUAAUUUAUCAACUGUUAAUUUACGACACACACACAUACACACACAGAGAGAGAAAGAGAGAGAGAGAGGCUGUGCAUGUAUGAAUAACCACCAUUUUGCCGUGAUUCUCUAUUAACAGUGAAGCCAUAGCUUUAAUUCCUUUAGAAACUGAUGGUACCAGCUCUUUGUUGAGAAAUUUAAAUUAAUUGUAGUUGUUCAAUACCACAGGAACAGUUUAAACUCACAACUCCAGAGGUUCACGAGGAGAAAGGAUGGUGAAGUCGCAUGUUAGUUGAGGCAGGCGCAUGAAAAAAAAAAAAACAGUUUGAAACAGGACACACCUUCUGUUUUUUAAUUGAUGAUGGGGGUGCCUCAGAGUCUCUUUCUCCAUUUUUCGAAUUUGAAAGCGUGCAUCUAAAAGUUCCUUCCCAGUGUGUCUGGUAUGCACGUGCGUGCACUGUCAUGACAACAACGAAAAAGUUGACAACAACCUAGUCAGCAGUUCAACUGAGGGGUGGGUGUGGCAACAGCAGCGUACUGAACUGUCAAGUAAUGUUCGUUUGGCUGCCGGGGGCCCGAGGAUAUAGAGCAGUGGUCACCAACCUUUUCGAGCUUAAGAUCACAUCCAAAGUCCAAAUGUAAACCAAGAUCUACCACUUGCAAAAAAUUAUUUAAAAAGUCACAAUGUAAGUUCUAUUCUUACAUUCUUGUUGCCUGUUAGUCACUAGCAAAUUAUUUAACCAUACAAAUAGUAUAUAGCUAUACAAACUAUCAACUAUAAUUCAACAUUUUCAACAGUAAUAUAACAUUAAGUAUUUCCACAGGAUUAUUACUCGUAUAUAAACACAAUAAUCAGUCAAUUACAGGCCUAAGCCAAUAAUGUACUGUUUCACUUUCCCUUUUAAAACAUAUUUCAAACACUGCAAAAUGGAAAUACUCAGGUUAUUGCAACUAGCAUACAAAAUAUUAUGGCAACAGUCAUCCUUCAAUUCUUCAAAAAUAUUUUCACACAAAUUACAGACCUACAUUAAUUUUUAGCUACAUAAAUUAAAUAAUGUAAUCAAAUGUAAAACAGCAUCGCAUAUUAGACUGUAUAAAUUAAAGAUUGUUCUUUAUUAAAGUUACAAAAGCUUUUAAAUCAGGAGCAGUGAGUGAUUUCUUUGUUGUUGCUGUUUGAUUAAUAUAAAGACUGUCACUUUAAGAGAAUGCACUGAUACAGUGGCCUACGUUCAGCUGGCUAUGUCUGCUGUAGGAUACUUACCAAAACAGGCAUUUUUACAUGAUUUUUGUGUGAAUUUGUCCAUAUAAAUACAAUACUUCAGAGAGAGCUUAUUUGCGCGCGUGCCAAGGCCCGGGUUUGCGCGCUUCGGAUGAGCGCAUGCACAAAUCUUCUCACUGCGCGCGCGAACUCGCUUCCUCUGGCUCUUAAAUUUUUAAACUGACAAAGCUUAAAUGAGUUUAGUUUAAACACAGAUAUCAGCACCCAGGUGAUGAUGGAAUAAAUUACUGCUCAUAUACAGCAUUCGCGUUGAACAGGAGUGAAUGAUUUGUCCAGGGUUUUUUUUCUCUCUCAUGUUUUGGUAAUGUCUGGGAAGCCAGAAUGCGCAUGCAUCAACAGAAACAUUUAUUAGCUGAACCCAGCAAGCCAUAUUACAGAUGAUAUUGCAGAUGCUUUGUCAGAUUUAAGUUGAAGCGCGUGCCGAACCGUGUGUGGUGAACCGAACGGUUUUGGAUUUUUUCAGCGAACCGUGCCAUUAUUACCUCAAUAAUCAAUCAAUUACAGGCCUAAAACAAUCAUGCCCGACCUGACGGAUAUUAGUAGCCUACAUCUCAUCACACCGGCACCCGUGUAUAAAUCAUGGUCUGGUUUUCAGUCUAAAACAGUUACGUCAAUGUCUCGUCUGUUUCGGGAGGUGCGUGCGCAGUCAGCGGAGGCUCGCACCUCCCAACUCCCACCUUUUUUUUCUCAGAUUUUGAAAAAUCUUUGUGAUUGACUUAAAAUGCUUCUGAGAUCGACUUGUCAACCGCGAUCGACGGGUUGGCGACUCCAGAUAUAGAUGAGCGACCAACUUUUUUUCUCAUUUUUGUCUCAUUUAUGGCAUUAUUUUUUAGUCAAAAGUUAUGAGCGUGUAAGACAUGCUCACGAGCACAUUAUGUUAUUUCACACGCGCAAAAAAGAACCUUCAACUGGCAUGAAAAAAGUACUCGCGCACAAAUUCAACAACCGAGAGGUGUACAUGUAGCUGCGAUCGAGCGCCUGGCAUACUGGUUAACUCUGCUUGUGCAGUGGAAUCCUGCUCGCGCGCAGCGGGCUUCUGCUCGCAGAGUGCUGUUUUGCUAGCGCAGUGGAUUUCUGCUCUCUCAAGUCUACAUGACUUUUGACAAUUUUGGGGGCGGAAACCAAGGAGGGCACUUACCCUCUUAUGAUUGACACUUUGACACAGGGACAUCCCCGCUCCCCAACUGUCAUUUUGGAAGAACAACGGGGCAAAGUCACGGCUUUAAGGUAAGUUUAUUUAAUGUUUUCUUUAAUAAUUAUUUUAAAUUGGCAGAAUUAUAACUUUUUUUAGUGGCAACAAUACGGUUAAACUUCUAUAGGCCAACAUUAUUUAUGUUAAAUGAUGAACAAUUUACCUCAAACGCAGGGCCGGCUCUAGGUUAUUUGGCGCCCAAGGCGAGAAACUCUAAGACGACAGAUUAAUACAGUUUUAUUUAGUUUGAGACAGUGACGGAUGGCUGAAAUAUGCGAAUAUCUUUGAAAAUAGAGGAGAAAUUAGUUUGUGACACUGAAAAGCGAAUUUAACAUUUAAGUGAGUCAAAUGAGUUCAAACAAGUGAAUACGACUUUCUGCUAACGCCUGCAUUUGUCCAUAUCGACAUGUAAAUCAUACAAAUUACGUACAAUAUAGUCGGACCGCAGGUCUAAAAGAACCGACGAUCCGGUUCAAAUAAACCGGUUCAAUAAUUCUUGAACAAAGUGAUUCCUGGAAAAGAAUCAACGUCUCAGGGCAUUUCAAAGUGUGCGCACGCACAGCGAGUGACGUAGGCCGUGUUACUGAGGUGAUUUGAUGCUUUUGUGGUUUAUAAAGUCUUUUUACAUACAAGUUAUAAUUCAAAAUGUUGUUUUUUUUCUGUCAGAAAAGCACAUGGAUACAUUUGUGAGAGAAAAACUCACUGAGUGCAGUCUUAUUGAGGCAUCUAACUGUUGAAUCAAACAUGGAAUUCCUUAACUAAGACCCCAUCCAAUUGUGGCGAUUUAAAAAUGCCAGCAGAUCUCUCAGGCAUUGAUCAUAAUUAAUGGACAGAGGGUCACUGCAGUCACCCGGAUCCAGUACAUAUCAAGUCCAGAUGGUGCACCUAGAAAGGACCUCUACAGCCCCUGAAAGACAGCGGAGACCAGGACAACUAGAGCCCCAGAUACAGAUCCCCUGUAAAGACCUUGUCUCAGAGGACCACCGAGUCAAGACCACAGGAAACAGAUGAUUCUUCUGCACAAUCUGACUUUGCUGCAGCCUGGAAUUGAACUACUGGUUUCUUCUGGUCAGAGGAGUACUGGCCCCCCAACUGAGCCUGGUUUCUCCCAAGGUUUUUUUCUCCAUUCUGUCACCGAUGGAGUUUUGAUUCCUUGGUUUUCCUUAGUUGGGGACAAUUAAUAUCAAGCGAUAUCAUCGACUUGAUUGCACAGAGGGACGAUAUAUCACUGAAUCAAUGAUGAACUGACUUUAACUGAAAACUGAAUGUUUACUGUUGUCCCUUUGCAUUAUUACACACUAUUUUCCUAUUUAAUAUUGUAAAGCUGCUAUGAUGCAGUAUUUGUUUAAUAUGACAGGCUUAUUAGUCAUAAUACAUGGAAAAUACAGCUGCAAAAGGACUUUGCUUUUCCAUUUGAAAUCUGGCAGUCACUGUGCAUUCGUGAAAACUGAAACAGUAAUUUUUGUUCAGUGCUUUUGAAACUGUUUUUGUUCAAGAUUUGCAAUUGUGUUUGGAUUAUGUCACAAUGUGUCACAUGUGGAAAACGCAAUUGAAAAUAUAAUUUGCAAUUCCUUUUGAAAAUUGUCCUUCCAUAGACAGGCUCUAUAACAGAGUACACUGCUCUCAGGUGUAGAUCUUUGCUUCAAAUCAAAGUGUUUGACAAUAGUACACCCAAAAAUUAAAAUUGUUAUUAAUUAUUCACUCUGGUUUGAAAGCUCUCGAAUUUCA